AACUUUCAACAAUGGAUCUCUUGGUUCUGGCAUCGAUGAAGAACGCAGCGAAAUGCGAUCAGUAAUGUGAAUUGCAGAAUUCAGUGAAUCAUCGAAUCUUUGAACGCACAUUGCGCCCCUUGGUAUUCCGAGGGGCAUGCCUGUUCGAGCGUCAUUAUAACCACUCAAGCCUCGGCUUGGUAUUGGGGUUCGCGGUCUCGCGGCCCUUAAAAUCAGUGGCGGUGCCGUCUGGCUCUAAGCGUAGUAAUUUCUCUCGCUAUAGAGUCCGGGUGGUUACUUGCCAAAAUCCCCCACUUUUUUAAGGUUGACCUCGGAUCAGGUAGGGAUACCCGCUGAACUUAAGCAUAUCAAUAAGCGGAGGCU
rnacentral:misc_RNA from 1 species